rnacentral:rRNA from 1 species
UAGGGAAUAUUGCAAAAUGGGCGAAAGCCCGAUGCAGCAACGCCGCGUGGGCGAUGAAGGCCUUCGGGUCGUAAAGCCCUUUUUGAGGGGAUGAGGAAGGACAGUACCCUCAGAAUAAGCCUCGGCUAACUACGUGCCAGCAGCCGCGGUAAAACGUAGGAGGCGAGCGUUAUCCGGAUUUACUGGGCGUAAAGCGCGUGCAGGCGGAUUGGAGAGUUGGAUGUGAAAGCUCCCGGCUUAACUGGGAGAGGUCGUUCAAUACUUCCAGUCUUGAGUGCAGUAGAGGGAAGUGGAAUUCCGGGUGUAGUGGUGAAAUGCGUAGAUAUCCGGAGGAACACCAGUGGCGAAAGCGGCUUCCUGGACUGUAACUGACGCUGAGGCACGAAAGCGUGGGUAGCAAACA